rnacentral:rRNA from 1 species
CAGCGGCCCUAGUGGUGAUCGUUAUUAUUGGGCCUAAAGCGUCCGUAGCCGGUUCGGUAAAUCUCUGGGUAAAUCGUUGGGCUUAACUCAGCGAAUUCUGGGAAGACUGCCGAACUUGGGACCGGGAGAGGUCGGAGGUACUCCAGGGGUAGGGGUGAAAUCCUGUAAUCCUUGGGGGACCACCGGUGGCGAAAGCGUCCGACCAGAACGGGUCCGACGGUAAGGGACGAAGCCCUGGGUCGCGAACCGGAUUAGAUACCCGAGUAGUCC